rnacentral:lncRNA from 1 species
UUUUUUUCUAUUCUAGAUAUCGCCACUAUCUUCUUUACAUAUAUACUAGUCGUUUACCCGCGUGAUGCGGCGGGAAACAUUUCACUUAGGUUUGUGAGUUUAGGGCUAUGUACAGGGCGGUUCGGUUUUGAGUAAUUCUAAGGGUGUGUAUGAGAAGGUUCGGUUCAGUUGGGGGGGAGACGGGUGCUUCCCUUCAUAUGGCAUACAAGAAAGUUUAUUGACGGGAGCACGCC